rnacentral:tRNA from 1 species
GGGGUGAAAGCGAACAUUUGCACUUAGUUUCGACCUAAGAUUUGGUUUUAAAACCUCACUUCU